rnacentral:lncRNA from 1 species
GGCAAGAGAAGACAAUGCAGUAGAGAUGAAAAAUGACUGCACCACAAGUCAUCUUCUCCAAUGAGACAACAGAAAUAGGGUUCCACAGCCAGACUUAUUACCUUUCCCUGAAGGUAUCAAGAUGGGUGUUAUCAGUUCAAUGCAGUGGUGUCUGGCUUCUAGCUUCUUCCGUGGAAGAAGGUUGAGGAAGAAGCAGCAGCAGAAGGAAGAUUUGAGCUGAAUAAGGAGAAGAAAAAUCUGCAGGUGAGCUAGGGUGGGGUUUGGACUGGUCAAAGAACAUUGAUCAAAGGUUGAAUUUAGGGAGGGGAGAUUAGGAGAGAUUGAGGCCUAUUUUAAGAACAAUAUUAAUGUGAAAAAUUUACUUCUAGGUUCAAGGAGUGAAAGUUGAAGGAGGAGUGAAAUCAGGGUAGGUCAAGGAGGAUGAAAGAGACUGAAGAGAAAGGGGGCAAGGAGAAAAUAAUUGGCAAGAUAGGAAAAGGUAAAUGGAACAAAUUGGUGGGGUAAGCAAAUUGCUAGAGCAAAUUGGUAGGUGGGACAAAUUGGAGAAACAUCUGGGAUGCUGGUGCAAGAGUUUUUGAGAUUAAAGCAAGGUAGUGGGCUGGGGCUGUUGAAUUUACUAAGAGGUUAUAAUAGGUUGUAUAGAUCUUAACAAAGUGAACCAGUUUUUUAAGGGGAGAAGGUAUAAGGACUCAUACACAGUAUAAAACAACAAGACAAAAUCUCAAUAGCUAUACAAAGCAAGGUAUAUAGUGUGGUGGCUUGAAUUGGUCAUGUGAUGUGUAUAUUUCUGUCAUAUCCAACUGUAGGCUAUUCUUCCUCCUAGAAGAGAAGGUUAAGGAACACUCAAGGAAUGCCUCUCCAUGUGCCCAGUUAUCAGGGACAAUGAAGUGUUUUUUUAAAAAGCUGCUUCAUUCAAAAAGAAUCGGAAGUAAAGGAGGGGAAAGCUGGCUCUUGGAGCCUACCUUCUAAUGGGGAAAAAUAAAACCUAAAGGGAGUCUGGAAAAGGGAAUGGA